AACGAACGCUGGCGGCAGGCUUAACACAUGCAAGUCGAGCGCCCCGCAAGGGGAGCGGCAGACGGGUGAGUAACGCGUGGGAAUCUACCCAUCUCUACGGAAUAGCGCAUGGAAACGUGUGCUAAUACCGUAUACGCCCUUCGGGAGAAAGAUUUAUCGGAGACGGAUGAGCCCGCGUUGGAUUAGCUAGUUGGUGGGGUAAAGGCCUACCAAGGCGACGAUCCAUAGCUGGUCUGAGAGGAUGAUCAGCCACACUGGGACUGAGACACGGCCCAGACUCCUACGGGAGGCAGCAGUGGGGAAUAUUGGACAAUGGGCGCAAGCCUGAUCCAGCCAUGCCGCGUGAGUGAUGAAGGCCCUAGGGUUGUAAAGCUCUUUCACCGGUGAAGAUAAUGACGGUAACCGGAGAAGAAGCCCCGGCUAACUUCGUGCCAGCCGCCGCCGUAAAAC
rnacentral:rRNA from 1 species